rnacentral:rRNA from 1 species
GAUGAACGCUGGCGGCGUGCCUAAUACAUGCAAGUCGAGCGAACAGACGAGGAGCUUGCUCCUCUGACGUUAGCGGCGGACGUGUGAGUCACACGUGGAUAACCUACCUAUAAUACUGGGAUAACUUCGGGAAACCGGAGCUAAUACCGGAUAAUAUAUUGAACCGCAUGGUUCAAUAGUGAAAGACGGUUUUGCUGUCACUUAUAGCUGGAUCCGCGCCGCAUUAGCUAGUUGGUAAGGUAACGGCUUACCAAGGCAACGAUGCGUAGCCGACCUGAGAGGGUGAUAGGCCACACUGGAACUGAGACACGGUCCAGACGACUAAGGGAGGCAGCAGUAGGGAAUCUUCCGCAAUGGGCGAAAGCUUGACGGAGCAACGCCGCGUGAGUGAUGAAGGUCUUCGGAUCGUAAAACUCUGUUAUUAGGGAAGAACAAAUGUGUAAGUAAAUAUGCACGUCUUGACGGUAACUAAUCAGAAAGCCACGGCUAACUACGUG